CGGACGGGUGAGUAACACGUGGAUAACCUACCUAUAAGACUGGGAUAACUUCGGGAAACCGGUGCUAAUACCGGAUAAUAUAUUGAACCGCAUGGUUCAAUAGUGAAAGACGGUUUUUGCUGUCACUUAUAGAUGGAUCCGCGCCGCAUUAGCUAGUUGGUAAGGUAACGGCUUACCAAGGCAACGAUGCGUAGCCGACCUGAGAGGGUGAUCGGCCACACUGGAACUGAGACACGGUCCAGACUCCUACGGGAGGCAGCAGAC
rnacentral:rRNA from 1 species